rnacentral:rRNA from 11 species
UGACCUCAAAUCAGGUAGGACUACC